rnacentral:rRNA from 1 species
AUUGAACGCUGGCGGCAGGCCUAACACAUGCAAGUCGGGCGAACGAGGCUUCGGCCAAGUGAGCGGCGAACGGGUGAGUAACACGUAGGAAUCUGCCUGGUAGUGGGGGACAACGUCUCGAAAGGGACGCUAAUACCGCAUACGCCCUACGGGGGAAAGCAGGGGCUCUUCGGACCUUGCGCUAUCAGAUGAGCCUGCGUCGGAUUAGCUAGUUGGUAGGGUAAAGGCCUACCAAGGCGACGAUCCGUAACUGGUCUGAGAGGAUGAUCAGUCACACCGGAACUGAGACACGGUCCGGACUCCUACGGGAGGCAGCAGUGGGGAAUACUGGACAAUGGGGGCAACCCUGAUCCAGCGAUGCCGCGUGGGUGAAGAAGGCCUUCGGGUUGUAAAGCCCUUUAGGUCGGGACGAAGGUUAUUAACGGAUAAUGUUAGUAACUUGACGGUACCGACAGAAUAAGCACCGGCAAACUCUGUGCCAGCCGCCGCCGUAA